AUGAACGCUGACGGCGUGCCUAAUACAUGCAAGUCGCGCGAACGGACGAGAAGCUUGCUUCUCUGAUGUUAGCGGCGGACGGGUGAGUAACACGUGGAUAACCUACCUAUAAGACUGGGAUAACUUCGGGAAACCGGAGCUAAUACCGGAUGAUAUUUUGAACCGCAUGGUUCAAAAGUGAAAGACGGUCUUGCUGUCACUUAUAGAUGGAUCCGCGCUGCAUUAGCUAGUUGGUAAGGUAACGGCUUACCAAGGCAACGAUGCAUAGCCGACCUGAGAGGGUGAUCGGCCACACUGGAACUGAGACACGGUCCAGACUCCUACGGGAGGCAGCAGUAGGGAAUCUUCCGCAAUGGGCGAAAGCCUGACGGAGCAACGCCGCGUGAGUGAUGAAGGUCUUCGGAUCGUAAAACUCUGUUAUUAGGGAAGAACAUAUGUGUAAGUAACUGUGCACAUCUUGACGGUACCUAAUCAGAAAGCCACGGCUAACUACGUG
rnacentral:rRNA from 1 species